GCUGGCGGCGUGCCUUAUACAUGCAAGUCGAGCGGUAAGGCCCUUCGGGGUACACGAGCGGCGGACGGCUGAGUAACGCGUAGGAAUGUACCCCAAAGUGAGGGAUAACUGCUCGAAAGAGUAGCUAAUACCGCAUGUGAUCUUCGGAUUAAAGCUUUAUGCGCUUUGGGAACAGCCUGCGUUCGAUUAGCUAGUUGGUAGUGUAAUGGACUACCAAGGCGAUGAUCGAUAGCUGGUCUGAGAGGAUGAUCAGCCAGACUGGGACUGAGACACGGCCCAGACUCCUACGGGAGGCAGCAGUAGGGAAUUUUCCACAAUGGGGGCAACCCUGAUGGAGCAACGCCGCGUGCAGGAUGAAGGCCUUCGGGUUGUAAACUGCUUUUGUUAGUGACGAUUAUGACGGUAACUAACGAAUAAGGACCUGCUAACUACGUGCCAGCAGCCGCGGUCAUACGUAGGGUCCAAGCGUUAUCCGGAAUUACUGGGCGUAAAGAGUUGCGUAGGUGGCAUGUAAAGCGGAUAGUGAAAGCGUGUGGCUCAACCAUACAGCCAUUAUUCUGAACUCACAAGCUAGAAGGACGAGAGAGGUAGAUGGAAUUCCU
rnacentral:rRNA from 1 species